AGCAGUAGCCGCGGUAAUACGAAGGGGGCUAGCGUUGUUCGGAUUUACUGGGCGUAAAGGGUGCGUAGGCGGAUUGUUAAGUCAGGGGUGAAAUCCCGAGGCUCAACCUCGGAACUGCCUUUGAUACUGGCGAUCUUGAGUCUGGGAGAGGUGAGUGGAACUGCGAGUGUAGAGGUGAAAUUCGUAGAUAUUCGCAAGAACACCGGUGGCGAAGGCGGCUCACUGGCCCGGUACUGACGCUGAGGCACGAAAGCGUGGGGAGCAAACAGGAUUAGAUACCCCGUAGUCCCUGUCUCUUAUACA
rnacentral:rRNA from 1 species